rnacentral:lncRNA from 1 species
GCACACCAGGCCUUCCUGCACCCUGGAGCACAGCACCCUCGCUGUAUCCUUGAGGAUGCAGAGAUGGCCUUCAUUGCCCUGGGUUACGCAACCCAGCCAGCUCUGAACAGGAAGUCAAAGGCACCCUUGCCUUGUACUGAAGGAGGGUGUUCGUGCAGCCCCCAGCUGAGGGCCUGCUGUCUCAGGCAGCCAUUGCAUGUAAUUCCUUCCAUUAGCAGCAGGGUCUAGCCUGGGCUGUUUCUACAUGGAACCAGCGUUCUCACAGCACCUCCUUACAUUUCUUAGUCCAGAAAUCUGUCAUUACCCGGAGAAUCCAAUGACGGUCCUCUAUGCCACAUGGCUGCUUGUCCCCGCACACUGAUGUUCUGCUCUUUAGGUUCUCAUUCUCCCCACUGAUGGAUGCACGAGGUGGGAGAGGAGGCGGAGGAGGUUCUGUCUCCGUUCGCCGCGCCAGGCCCCCGUUCCCUGCUGACACCAGUCUGCCCCUGCCCUGUGAGCAGCCCCGUGUGCUGGAGAGCAGCCACAGCCAGCUGU